rnacentral:misc_RNA from 1 species
GAAAACAGCAGCAAAUCAGAAAAAUCACAUUCCUUGCUCUAGAGAAGAGAGAACCUUCUUUGGGGUCUUCUCCUAGAAGAAUUGCAGGGGGACCCCCACAUGCCUACCCACCAAAUUGGGUUUUGAUGAUCCUUUCGUUUCGUCAAACCCUUUUUGGUUUAUGACAAUAAUCUCUUAAUCUUAUACCCUUUUGUGUUUAUUUGUCCAAAUUUGACUUUGUAAUUGCGUACAAUUCAAGCAUUCCUUCGCUGCCUACAUUCUUAGCGUAUAUGCAUUCUGUUUCUUGUUAUUUCUCUCUAACGCGUCUCUUCGCUAAUCUUCAUUCCUUUUUGGACAUAAAGAUUUUUCGGAUUAGAUUCUUUUUUCUCACAUAAAAUACACAAAAGGAUUAUUGCCUGUUAACAAAAGAUUUUAUCUUUUCUUUGUCUGACUCUAAAUUUUGUGGCUUUUCGAGCUGUUUGGAUCUAAUCUAAUCUGGGUUCUUCUGCUUCCGUCAUUUAUUGCAAGUUUUUUCUUGAUUUCGUAUAGGUGAGUCACUCCAUUAUUUGGUUCUUUACCUUCUUCUUCUCCCCAGAAUUCGAUAUCAUAAUGUUAUUUGUAGUGAAUUUGAUUGGCAUGUUGAGCUGGAACAAUUUCUCUUUAUGUUUCUUUUAGAUUGACUUUAGAGCUGAUGACAAGUUCUGAUAGCUCAACAAUGCCUUGUUGAAGAUUUUGCUUGCUAUAGUGUCUCCAUAGUUUCCAAUGAUUUCUAUAGACAAAUGCAAAAUAGUUGUAGUGUUAGUUAUCCUAGAACUGGAAUCGAUAUUUGCAUAUAGCAUAUAAAACGCCCUAAUUAUUGGAUUGCAGGGACUCUUGGAUGUUUAGGCCCUUGUGUUACUAUUGUUUAUUUGUGGAUUGCUUUCAACUGCCUUCAGUUUUUUGCUUUUGGUUUGAUUUGAUCAUUUUUUUUUUCAAUGAAAUUCUCCUCGAUUCUAUCAUCUACCAAGUAAACUGAUUUUCUAAAUUUCAUUUUGAGUUGGAAACUGCUUGCCAACCUUUGCUUUAAUUUGUUUAUUCAGUUCUUAACAAAUCCUAUUUAUCUUUUUCACAUAAAAUAAAAUAGAAAUAUUAAGUAGAAUCUGACACUUGGGUUAGCAUCAUUGUAUGAAUGGUUUAUCUUUCAGGCAAGAAUUUCAUAGACCAUGAGCAGAUGGCUUAGCAAAAUUUUUAAAGGCUCCAGUCAUCAUACGUCAGAUCGCCAUUAUAACGGAAAUUAUGGAGAGGAUCCUAAUUAUUAUGCUCCGUCUACUUCAGGGGUACUUACUAAUACCACUUCUUUGCCAUCAAAUCUGUCAUAUUUCCAUUUCUGUGUAGUUGGGUUAGAUUGUAUGGCUGUAAUAUGAAUUGCAUAAUGUUUUAUUUUGGUUAAAACAUGCCAUUUUAGAAGUUAGCUGACAAAGCUUAGGAGAUGCGUCAAAUAGUACUUCCCUCAGAUGGAAAUAUUGUAACUUUGACUUUCGGUACUACCAUGAGUAUCUCAAUAACCUUGGUUGAAAAUUUGCUUAGAGUUAAACUUGAUUCCUAAUUUAAUCUUGGAUGUUGACCAUAGGCUGUGAGGUCAGAGCAGGAGAACGAAGAUAUUGAUCGUGCUAUUGCACUGUCCCUUGUAGAAGAACAUCAAAAUAGAAAAUUUGUUACUGAUAGCGAGACUCAGCUGAAAGAAGAUGAACAACUUGCUAGAGCUAUACAAGACAGCUUGAAUGUUGAAUCUCCUCCUCAGUAUGGAUAUGGAAAUGGAAAUGGCAAUGCAUACCAAGGCAAUUUAUAUCAACCUGUCCCAGUCCAGUUUCCAAUGGGGUACAGGAUUUGUGCUGGUUGCAAUGCAGAGAUUGGUCAUGGAAGAUUUCUAAAUUGUCUCAAUGCAUUUUGGCAUCCAGAAUGUUUCCGGUGCCAUGCCUGCAACCAACCAAUUUCUGAUUAUGAGUUCUCUGUGUAUGGUAAUUAUCGUUAUCAUAAAUCUUGCUACAAGGAGCAGUACCAUCCUAAAUGUGAUGUUUGCAAGUACUUUAUUCCAACAAACCCUGCUGGUCUUAUUGAAUAUAGGGCACAUCCUUUUUGGAUCCAGAAAUACUGCCCAUCUCAUGAACACGAUGGUACUCCCCGGUGCUGCAGCUGUGAGCGAAUGGAGCCACGAGACACAGGAUAUGUUGCACUUAAUGAUGGUCGGAAGCUCUGCCUAGAGUGCCUGGACUCUGCAGUCAUGGACAUCAAUCAAUGUCAGCCCCUUUCCCUUGAUAUACUGGAAUUUUAUGAAAGUUUGAAUAUGAGAGUGGAGCAGCAUGUCCCACUACUUUUGGUUGAGAGACAAGCACUGAAUGAAGCCAGGGAGGGGGAAAGGAAUGGCCAUUAUCAUAUGCCAGAAACCAGAGGACUUUGCCUUUCUGAGGAACAAACAGUCAGCAGGGUAGUAAGACGGCCAAGGUUUGGAGCUGGAAACCAGGCCAUGGGUAUGGUAACAGAGCCGUACAAAUUGACACGUCGUUGUGAGGUGACAGCGAUUCUUAUUUUGUUUGGCCUCCCAAGGUACAUAUCCUUAUGUCUCUUUGCUUUUAUACUUUUAACAGAGGGCGUCAUCAAGAAGUAGAUAAUUGAAAUAAAAACAGAUAUUAUUAUUCUUCCCCCCUCUUUUUGUGUGCAAAAUACAAAUUAAGGGCCAAUUAAAGUUAAAUAUUUCUGUCCUUUAGAAUUAAAUUAUGUGAAGUUCAAAUUUCUCUUUCAAAUAGGCCCUUAACAAAAUUGCACAAUUUCAAUUUGCAUUUUUUUUUUUUAGAAUUUCUCUUGUAGCGAUGUUUGAUGUGAAGUUUGAGAAAUUCAUGUCUUUCAUGAACUUUGUAUCAUGGCGCUUCUUUAAUAUGUUGAAGAUUUGAAUAUUUACUUAUACAGUAUGGGAUAUGUAUUUGCCAGUUAGAUAUUUUAUGUGUGGCUGGAAACUUGUUUCUUGCAGGUUGCUUACUGGAUCAAUCCUGGCUCAUGAGAUGAUG